UAGGGAAUCUUCGGCAAUGGACGAAAGUCUGACCGAGCAACGCCGCGUGAGUGAAGAAGGUUUUCGGAUCGUAAAACUCUGUUGUUAGAGAAGAACAAGGACGUUAGUAACUGAACGUCCCCUGACGGUAUCUAACCAGAAAGCCACGGCUAACUACGUGCCAGCAGCCGCGGUAAUACGUAGGUGGCAAGCGUUGUUCGGAUUUAUUGGGCGUAAAGCGAGCGCAGGCGGUUUCUUAAGUCUGAUGUGAAAGCCCCCGGCUCAACCGGGGAGGGUCAGUGGAAACUGGGAGACUUGAGGGCAGAAGAGGGGGGUGGAAUUCCAUGUGUAGCGAUGAAAUGCGUAGAUAUAUGGAGGAACACCAGUGGCGAAGGCGGCUCUCUGGUCUGUAACUGACGCUGAGGCUAGAAAGCGUGGGGAGCAAACAGG
rnacentral:rRNA from 1 species